rnacentral:rRNA from 1 species
CUAUACAUGCAGUCGACGAGUUCUGAUUAUUGAAAGGUGCUUGCAUCUUGAUUUAAUUUUGAACGAGUGGCGGACGGGUGAGUAACACGUGGGUAACCUGCCCUUAAGUGGGGGAUAACAUUUGGAAACAGAUGCUAAUACCGCAUAAAUCCAAGAACCGCAUGGUUCUUGGCUGAAAGAUGGCGUAAGCUAUCGCUUUUGGAUGGACCCGCGGCGUAUUAGCUAGUUGGUGAGGUAACGGCUCACCAAGGCAAUGAUACGUAGCCGAACUGAGAGGUUGAUCGGCCACAUUGGGACUGAGACACGGCCCAAACUCCUACGGGAGGCAGCAGUAGGGAAUCUUCCACAAUGGACGCAAGUCUGAUGGAGCAACGCCGCGUGAGUGAAGAAGGCUUUCGGGUCGUAAAACUCUGUUGUUGGAGAAGAAUGGUCGGCAGAGUAACUGUUGUCGGCGUGACGGUAUCCAACCAGAAAGCCACGGCUAACUACGUGCCAGCAGCCGCGGUAAUACGUAGGUGGCAAGCGUUAUCCGGAUUUAUUGGGCGUAAAGCGAGCGCAGGCGGUUUUUUAAGUCUGAUGUGAAAGCCCUCGGCUUAACCGAGGAAGUGCAUCGGAAACUGGGAAACUUGAGUGCAGAAGAGGACAGUGGAACUCCAUGUGUAGCGGUGAAAUGCGUAGAUAUAUGGAAGAACACCAGUGGCGAAGGCGGCUGUCUGGUCUGUAACUGACGCUGAGGCUCGAAAGCAUGGGUAGCGAACAGGAUUAGAUACCCUGGUAGUCCAUGCCGUAAACGAUGAAUGCUAGGUGUUGGAGGGUUUCC